GCCUGCAAAGCUCUUCCCGUAUUGAUCACCACAGCAAACAAGUUCUUAUUCCUUCUUUCCAAUCCCAUGAGGCAUAUUGUAGAUCCCUAUCCCCUAAUAAAUGAGGGCACGAAAGAGAAAGAGCAGUUAUAUUAUCAACCGAGGGCAAGAAAAGGCGCUUACAUGAGAGAGAGAAGAGGAAUGGCAACUGAGGUGAUUUUAUCAAAUGCUCCUUUUAAAUAAGUGUGUGUGUGCGCAUGCUCUUGGCCUGAAGCGUGGCUCAAUUGUAGACAUCCUGCGCCAAUUUGAAGCUGUAGUUUCAUGGAAACCAGAAAAAAUUGUUGCUAAAAAAAUCUCAAAUCUAGUUCUUGUUUCUUGUGAAAUUUCCAUAAUAUGAUCAAGCUCUCAUCAGUCAUUCCAAAUAGUCAAAUACCAUGUUUAGCCAUGUUUAGAUCACCUAAUUUCGCCUCCACAGUUUUAGGAUUUUUGAUUGUUUCAUCCCAAAUCAUAAAGUGUCAUAAAGUUCAGACACAUAAAUUGGUUAAAAAGCACGGUUGAUUAACUGAAAGAAAUUUAACAGAAGAAUCACAAUCUAACCAUCCAAACGAGAAGAAUUUUUUGCACCAAACAGUUUAUACAUUAUCUCAGUAUUCUCUAUUCCAGAUAUGCUUCAUCUCUCUCUCUCUCUUUAUUUUUUUUAUUUUAGAGAUCUUCAUCCAAUACAAGGAAGAUAAAUUGCGGAUUUAAAUGGAAGAAACGUACACACAUGAAAACUUGAUAUACAUUCAAGCAGCAAAAUCCUCAGAACUCAUAAUUUGAUAGGUAAAGAAAGAUACUUGCCUGAGUCCAAGCGUGAAAAUCCCGAAAAAUGAAGUUCGCAGUUGCAGAGUUGAUCAAAUUAAUAACAGCCAAGGAGAGAGUUGCGGGUCGACUUUGUU
rnacentral:lncRNA from 1 species